rnacentral:lncRNA from 1 species
UCAAGCUAUCCACUUGCCUCAGCCUCCCAAAUUGCUGAGAUUAGAAGAAUGAGCCACUGUGCCUGUGACUUACUUCUAACCCACAGAAUAGAGCAACAGUGAGAGGAUGUCAAUUCUGUGAUAGAUUGCAAAAUAUUGUAAGUUCCUAGCAGUCUUUCUCAUUGGUUUCAAUAAAAAAAAGCUGCUGUGCUGGAGGGACCCAUGAGGCAAAGAACUGAGAGCAGCCUUUAGCUAACAGCCGGCAAGGAAUGAGGUGCUUGGUCCAGCAAUCACAGAGAAACUGAAUCCUGCUGAUGAUCAUGAGGGUGAGCUUGGAAGCAGAUUCUGUCCCAGAUGAACUUUGAUUGUGUCUUGUUAGAAACCCUGGACCAACUCCUUGAUUGCACCUGUGAGAGGCCCUGAAGCGGAGGGCCCAGCUAAGGUGUGUCUGGAUUUCUGACCCACAGAAACUGAGAUCAUAAAUGUGUGGUUUUAAGCCCUACUCCAGCACUUUCACAGUCAUUUACGGCAUCUGCAGAGCAGUGAAAAAUUUGAAUUGCCUGAGAUACAUGCUCCCUGCUGAAGUCGCACAAGCUGGCCAAUCCUGCUAAUCCUUUAAAACUCACCUGGAGGGAAGGCCUCCUUCUGCAAAGCCUCUCUUGAUGCAGAUUAUCAGCUUUCACUCUCUACCAGAUGGCAAGGAUAUUGCUGUUGGCUCAUAGGAUGUGAACAGUGGUGUUGAGAUUACCCUCAUUUGGCUGAUGAUGUCAUUGAGGCCCAGAGAAGAUUCAUGCUGAGCUCGACUACCUCCGUGAGAAAUGACUCUCCUGUAGGGCUCGAUGACCUUCAUGUCAAUGCGCUGCUCUUGUUCUCC